rnacentral:tRNA from 1 species
GGUCUGAUAGCUCAGUUGGUAGAGCGCUACCCUGAAGAGGUAGGCGUCGGAGGUUCGAAUCCUCCUCAGACCA